GCAUGAUAAGAGAAAAAGAGAGGGGCAGGGGAAAGAAAAAGAACUAGGGGCCACUAGGGAAGGAGAAUGGAAACCUGUGGUCUAAACAGAGAAGCAACAAGAAGUGACCUGAGAGUUUCAAGCCAGGCAAGUUGACCUGAAAGAGGGCUGCUAGGGCCUGGGGAGCCUUUAUUUAUCUGGUAUCCUGUAAAAGGAGAUUGAAAACUGGGCUGGGCUGAGAAGCUGGGCUCCCUCCCACUCCCACCCACAAGAAAACAAAAGGCCCGUUUUCCUGAGCUCUUCCUAUAAUCCAGAAGGUCCUCAAGAGGAGGAAGAGUGUGGUGAACGCAAUGGCAGCACCAAGGAACACCUUAGGGGAGGGGAACUUCAACCUUCCAU